GACGAACGCUGGCGGCGUGCUUAACACAUGCAAGUCGAACGGAAAGGCCCUGCUUUUGUGGGGUGCUCGAGUGGCGAACGGGUGAGUAACACGUGAGUAACCUGCCCUUGACUUUGGGAUAACUUCAGGAAACUGGGGCUAAUACCGGAUAGGAGCUCUUGCUGCAUGGUGGGGGUUGGAAAGUUUCGGCGGUUGGGGAUGGACUCGCGGCUUAUCAGCUUGUUGGUGGGGUAGUGGCUUACCAAGGCUUUGACGGGUAGCCGGCCUGAGAGGGUGACCGGCCACAUUGGGACUGAGAUACGGCCCAGACUCCUACGGGAGGCAGCAGUGGGGAAUAUUGCACAAUGGGCGGAAGCCUGAUGCAGUAACGCCGCGUGCGGGAUGACGGCCUUCGGGUUGUAAACCGCUUUCGCCUGUGACGAAGCGUGAGUGACGGUAAUGGGUAAAGAAGCACCGGCUAACUACGUG
rnacentral:rRNA from 1 species